rnacentral:rRNA from 1 species
UACGAACCGCGCGAACGUUGUUCGGAAUCACUGGGCUUAAAGGGUGCGUAGGCGGGUUGUCCAGUCUGGGGUGAAAUCCCACGGCUCAACCGUGGAAUUGCCUCAGAUACUGACGGCCUCGAGGGAGGUAGGGGCGAGCGGAACUGUGGGUGGAGCGGUGAAAUGCGUUGAUAUCCACAGGAACUCCGGUGGCGAAGGCGGCUCGCUGGACCUCUUCUGACGAUGAGGCACGAAAGCUAGGGGAGCAAACGGG